UACGUAGGGUGCAAGCGUUGUCCGGAAUUAUUGGGCGUAAAGAGCUCGUAGGCGGUUUGUCGCGUCUGCUGUGAAAACCCGAGGCUCAACCUCGGGCCUGCAGUGGGUACGGGCAGACUAGAGUGCGGUAGGGGAGAUUGGAAUUCCUGGUGUAGCGGUGGAAUGCGCAGAUAUCAGGAAGAACACCCGUGGCGAAGGCGGCUCUCUGGAACGCAACUGACGCUGAGACGCGAAAGCGUGGGGAGCAAACAGG
rnacentral:rRNA from 1 species